GACGAACGCUGGCGGCGUGCUUAACACAUGCAAGUCGAACGGAAAGGCCCUGCUUUUGUGGGGUGCUCGAGUGGCGAACGGGUGAGUAACACGUGAGUAACCUGCCCUUGACUUUGGGAUAACUUCAGGAAACUGGGGCUAAUACCGGAUAGGAGCUCCUGCUGCAUGGUGGGGGUUGGAAAGUUUCGGCGGUUGGGGAUGGACUCGCGGCUUAUCAGCUUGUUGGUGGGGUAGUGGCUUACCAAGGCUUUGACGGGUAGCCGGCCUGAGAGGGGGACCGGACACAUUGGGACGGAGAUACGGCCCAGACUCCUACGGGAGGCAGCAGUGGGGAAUAUUGCACAAUGGGCGGAAGCCUGAUGCAGCAACGCCGCGUGCGGGAUGACGGCCUUCGGGUUGGAAACCGCUUUCGCCUGUGACGAAGCGUGAGUGACGGUAAUGGGUAAAGAAGCACCGGCUAACUACGUG
rnacentral:rRNA from 1 species